AGAGUUUGAUCAUGGCUCAGAACGAACGCUGGCGGCGUGCUUAACACAUGCAAGUCGAACGCGAAAGGGACUUCGGUCCCGAGUAGAGUGGCGCACGGGUGAGUAACGCGUAAGUAAUCUACCCCUGUAUCUGGAAUAACCUACCGAAAGGUGAGCUAAUACCGGAUACGUUUGAGAUGAUGCGAAUCAUUUCACAGAAAGGAGGCCUCUUCUUGAAAGCUUCCGUACAGGGAUGAGCUUGCGUACCAUUAGCUAGUUGGCAGGGUAAUGGCCUACCAAGGCGACGAUGGUUAGCGGGUCUGAGAGGAUGACCCGCCACACUGGAACUGGAACACGGACCAGACUCCUACGGGAGGCAGCAGUGAGGAAUAUUGCGCAAUGGGGGAAACCCUGACGCAGCGACGCCGCGUGGAUGAUGAAGGCCCUUGGGUCGUAAAAUCCUGUCAGAUGGAAAGAAAUGCAUAGUGACUAAUACUCAUUAUGUUUGACGGUACCAUCAAAGGAAGCACCGGCUAACUCCGUGCCAGCCGCCGCGGAAUAC
rnacentral:rRNA from 2 species